rnacentral:rRNA from 1 species
CAGUAGCCACGGUAAUACAGAGGGUGCAAGCGUUAAUCGGAAUUACUGGGCGUAAAGCGCGCGUAGGUGGUUUGUUAAGUUGGAUGUGAAAUCCCCGGGCUCAACCUGGGAACUGCAUCCAAAACUGGCAAGCUAGAGUAUGGUAGAGGGUGGUGGAAUUUCCUGUGUAGCGGUGAAAUGCGUAGAUAUAGGAAGGAACACCUGUGGCGAAAGCGGCUCACUGGACCAUAACUGACGCUGAUGCACGAAAGCUAGGGGAGCAAACAGGAUUAGAUACCCCUGUAGUCCCUGUCUCUUAUAC